rnacentral:rRNA from 1 species
UCCACCGAUUGACUAAGGUUUCCAGAGGAAGGCUCGUCCGCUCUGGGUUAGUCGGGUCCUAAGCUGAGGCCGACAGGCGUAGGCGAUGGAUAACAGGUUGAUAUUCCUGUACCACCUAUAAUCGUUUUAAUCGAUGGGGGGACGCAGUAGGAUAGGCGAAGCGUGCGAUUGGAUUGCACGUCUAAGCAGUAAGGCUGAGUAUUAGGCAAAUCCGGUACUCGUUAAGGCUGAGCUGUGAUGGGGAGAAGACAUUGUGUCUUCGAGUCGUUGAUUUCACACUGCCGAGAAAAGCCUCUAGAUAGAAAAUAGGUGCCCGUACCGCAAACCGACACAGGUAGUCAAGAUGAGAAUUCUAAGGUGAGCGAGCGAACUCUCGUUAAGGAACUCGGCAAAAUGACCCCGUAACUUCGGGAGAAGGGGUGCUCUUUAGGGUUAACGCCCAGAAGAGCCGCAGUGAAUAGGCCCAAGCGACUGUUUAUCAAAAACACAGGUCUCUGCUAAACCGUAAGGUGAUGUAUAGGGGCUGACGCCUGCCCGGUGCUGGAAGGUUAAGAGGAGUGGUUAGCUUCUGCGAAGCUACGAAUCGAAGCCCCAGUAAACGGCGGCCGUAACUAUAACGGUCCUAAGGUAGCGAAAUUCCUUG